rnacentral:rRNA from 1 species
UACGGAGGGUGCAAGCGUUGCUCGGAAUUACUGGGCGUAAAGCGAGUGUAGGUGGUUGUCCAAGUUGGAUGUGAAAGCCUUGAGCUCAACUCAAGAAAUGCAUUCAGGACUGGAUGACUAGAGGACCGGAGAGGAUAGUGGAAUUCCCAGUGUAGUGGUGAAAUACGUAGAGAUUGGGAAGAACACCAGUGGCGAAGGCGGCUAUCUGGACGGUUUCUGACACUAAGACUCGAAAGCGUGGGGAGCAAACAGG